UGAGGAAUAUUGGACAAUGGGCGCAAGCCUGAUCCAGCCAUGCCGCGUGCAGGAAGAAGCAUCUAUGGUGUGUAAACUGCUUUUGUACGGGAAGAAACAUUCCUUCGUGAAGGAGCUUGACGGUACCGUAAGAAUAAGGAUCGGCUAACUCCGUGCCAGCAGCCGCGGUAAUACGGAGGAUCCAAGCGUUAUCCGGAAUCAGUGGGUUUAAAGGGUCUGUAGGCGGUUUAGUAGGUCAGUGGUGAAAGCCCAUCGCUCAACGAUGGAACGGCCAUUGAUACUGCUAGCCUUGAAUUAUUAGGAAGUAACUAGAAUAUGUAGUGUAGCGGUGAAAUGCUUAGAUAUUACAUGGAAUACCAAUUGCGAAGGCAGGUUACUACUAAUGGAUUGACGCUGAUGGACGAAAGCGUGGGGAGCGAACA
rnacentral:rRNA from 1 species